rnacentral:rRNA from 1 species
GAUGAACGCUAGCUACAGGCUUAACACAUGCAAGUCGAGGGGAAACGACAUCGAAAGCUUGCUUUUGAUGGGCGUCGACCGGCGCACGGGUGAGUAACGCGUAUCCAACCUGCCCAUCACUUGGGGAUAACCUUGCGAAAGUAAGACUAAUACCCAAUGAUAUCUCUAGAAGACAUCUGAAAGAGAUUAAAGAUUUAUCGGUGAUGGAUGGGGAUGCGUCUGAUUAGCUUGUUGGCGGGGUAACGGCCCACCAAGGCAACGAUCAGUAGGGGUUCUGAGAGGAAGGUCCCCCACAUUGGAACUGAGACACGGUCCAAACUCCUACGGGAGGCAGCAGUGAGGAAUAUUGGUCAAGGGGCGAGAGCCUGAACCAGCCAAGUAGCGUGCAGGAAGACGGCCCUAUGGGUUGUAAACUGCUUUUAUAAGGGAAUAAAGUGAGAGUCGUGACUCUUUUUGUAUGUACCUUAUGAAUAAGGACCGGCUAAUUCCGUG